UCGUGCUAGAUGGGGAGAUAGCGGUGCCCUGCACCCGCAAUCCGCUAUAGCGGGGUCGAAUUCCCCUCAGAGGUCUCAGCGUUUUCGAGGCGGCCGACAGAGCAGGCAUUGAAGAUUAGAUUCUACGCAACGGGCGGCUUCUGAACCCCGUCAGGACCGGAAGGUAGCAGCGGUAGGAAUGUCCUCCCGUGUGCCGUAGAAAUAUCUAAUUGGAGUCGGCUUUUUAUCGGUCUUAUUGAAAAUCAGGAUCGACCAGGGGUGCACGG
rnacentral:SRP_RNA from 1 species